rnacentral:lncRNA from 1 species
GAUAACUCCAAACUCCAAAAAGAGAAGCAAAAGAAAGAAAGAAAAGGACGCGUUCUUCUUUCUUUUUUUUCCCCCUUUAUUCAGUAAAAGUGCGUUAGUGAAUACUCUUUGUCUUUACUAACCCUACAAAUUCUCUUCCGGCAAGUUUUCAGGUUCCUCCGAAUCGCUCCGACGCCUUUGAUGUUCACAUCUUCCGGUAGUCCUGUCGCAGAUGACUUUCGCCCAUUUAUAGAACCACACUUUCUUUAAUUUGAAUUCUAUGUGGUAGGACGAGAGUCAUCUGUGACAGGAUAAUGGAAGAUCGAGUUAUCAAAGGCUUAUUGGGCGUUUCCUUUUUCAUCUUGAGUUCGUACCAGGUUAAUGCAAAACCGAAGAAGUAGAGCAGGUGGACAUUUCAUUACCAUUAUUCUACUACAUAUUGGAUUGAGAAUUAUUUGCUUCCAAUUUUGAGCCUAUGCUAUUGAAUUUGAUAUUAUGCUAAACACAUUGUGGGUGAGUGCUGUUGGUAAAAACGUAUAUGGCAGAUGUGCUGGAUUCCAAUUUAUGGGAGAAAAUGAAAAUAUAUAGCAGCACUAGAUGUGUUGGAGUUGAAGCAGUUAUGUGGUUUGUCAAUGCCGAUGUAUUAUUCUUUGCAUUUGAGCUAUGUGCUACCAUUUUUGUCCUUGUUAUGUAUGUUUAAAUCCCUGAAUGUGUGCGUGUUUGUGUAUAUAUACCUACACAGAAAAAUUUGAGUAUUUACUCUGCAGUUGAAGGUGGUGGGUGGAUUAAAGAUAGUAAUAUACCUGGACGGAUAGGUGUUAUAAUUGCCUCAUAUUUCCAUAAUAGAAUUUGGUAUAAGAAUAUAAUGGUAUCCUGACUGUCGUCUUGUAAAUUAUUUUUUGUUAUAGGCUUUGUUAGGACUAUUGCACAAAGGUAUUUGGCAUCUCCUAAGAAAAACUUUAUUUACUGGAUCAAUUGAUGAUUAGAAUAGAUUUUUGAUAUUUAUCAUUAACCAAUUUAGAAGGAAAUCAGUUCAGACAGUUUGAUUAGCAAGGGAAAAAUAAAUUGAUUGAUGAAGAGGCUUCUUAGUUUAAUGUUUGUUUAAGUAUUAUGGACACUCUUGUAAUUAAUUUGAAUUCAAUGUGUUAGGACGUGAGUCAUCUGUGACAGGAUAAUGGAAGAUCUAGUUAUCAAAAGGCUUAUUCGGGCGUUUUUUCUCAUGUCCAGUUCGUAGCAAAAUCUCCAACUUUUGCAGAGUAGCACAGGUAGACAUUUCAUCACCAUUACUCUAUUAGAUAUUGAAUUGAGUAUUAUUUGCUUCCUCUUUUGAGCGUAUGCUAUAGAAUUAGAUUUUAUGUUAACACAAGUUACUAUUUCUGUGUGUGUGGUGUUGAAAUUUGUCUGUAAAACUAGGCUUUUUAUUUAAUCAAUAUUAAGAAGAUGUGGUAUGUGCUUUAUCAAAAAAAGAAGAUGUGGUAUGUGGAGAUGUGUAGGACGAGAAAAUGGAAACAUAUAGCAGUGUUCAACUUUUUGCAGGCCUAGAUGUGUUGAAGUUUCAGCAGUUUUGUGGUUUGUCAAUAGUCUUUGUUUUAUUAAAGAUGUACUAUUCUUUGCAUUUGAGGUAUGUGCUAACAAUUUUGGGCCUUGUUAUGUAUGUUUGAAUCCCUGAGUGUGUGCGUGUUUGUGUAUAUAUACCUACACAUAUACAUACACAGAAAAAUUUGACUACAGUUGUAGGUGGGUGGAUUUAAGAUAGUAAUAUACGUUGACGAAUUGGUGUUAUAAUUGCCUCAUAUUUCCAUAAUAGAAUUUGUUAUAAGAAUAUUAUGGUAUCCUGACAGUCGUCUUGUAAGUUAAUUUUUUUUUAUAUAGGUUUUGUUAGGACAAUUGCACAAAGUUAUUAGGCAUCUCCUAAGAAAAACUUGUUAUUAUUCCUACUGGGUCAAUUGAUGAUUAGCAUAGAUCUUUGAUAUUUGUCAUUAACCAAUUUAGAAGGAUAUCAGUUGAGACAAUUCAAUUAGCAAGGGGAAAAUAAAUUGAUUGAUGAAGAGGCUUCUUAUUUUAAUGUUUGUUCAAGUAUUAUGGACACUUUGGUACUCUUGUAGGAUGCCAGAUUCACUCACUGCUUCACUGUGAUCUAUGUUUACCAUGGAUAACGUAAUUAUCAGAUGUAUUAGAAUCUUUAUCUCCAAAAAGAAGAGGAGGUUAUAAAAUCAAAAUAUCUUGCCUUCCAUCCGGAUCUAGCUUGUGCUCCUCACGGGUAACUCUAUCCACUAAUCUUAUAGCUCAUGGUCUCAACCUACUUCAAUCCUUAAGCCAUACCCUUGGGUACCCUUCCAUACCCUUUUUCACGAGCCAAUGCAUCCUAUUCAGCUGCUGCUAGCAACGCAUGUCAUUUUGGCCGAGUGUGAAGUUAAUUAUCCAUCAUUUGGUAUUCUAAAUUUAGGGAGAGCUUGACAGUUCUCUUCUGUAUUAUUUUCAUUGCACCAAGGGUAUGCUAGCUUCUCUCUUUAAGUCCAGGUUUUUCUAACUUUGUGGUGUGAUUUAUCAUAUUCUACUUGUUUUUGAUGGCCAGUAAAGCCUCGAGUCAUAAUGCUUGCUGUGAGUACUUCCGUACGAAAUGUUGAAAAUUAUUUAGUUAGGUAGGUAAGUUAGCUUAGUCCAUCAGAUUGACUUUGGAAAUCCAUAAAUCCCAAUCCUUUAUCAUAUCUUAUACCCUAAACCCAACAAUAAUUCUACUAUGAUGACAAGUUGACAACUAAGUAUAAUUUUUACUUUAUACUAGAAUGUUAGGUUAUUAGAAGUUACAUUUUGAAAAUUAGCAACUGUUAUGAUAUUUGUCUUCUAAUCAUCAGUGGAUAAUCUUUAUUAGGUGCAACAAGAUAGAUACGGAAUACUGAUUUCUUUAGGUAGGGGAAUGUAAAGUCAGCAUUGAAAAAGAGUAACAAAAUAAGAUCCAUCCCUCAUAUUAAGCAAAUACCACAUAAGUCAUUUUAUAAUCCUUAUGAUCUAUUAUAAUGAAGCUCCGAAAUUGUUAGAAUAUUACUAAGGAAUUUGUGGCUCGAGAUCCAACCCUUAACACCAAAAUAGAUUUACAUAAAUAGCAUUGAAAGACUUAGAAGUUGGAUAUUUUAUUAAUAUAGUAGCUAAGGGUAUGCAAUUGGGAUUAGAAGCCUUGAGUAAUCUUCGAAGUACAUAAAGUAAAGUUGUGAAGCAAAAUCAUCAGUUGCUUGUUUUCAUGUACUUUCAACAUAUGAACAAAUUUAACAGGAAACAAGAACUAAUGACUGCUAAAACAAUAAUUCCUCUACCAAUAUGCAAUGUAGGGCCUCGCAACCUUUCCAUAUCCAAUGGCCUUCUUGUAAACUGGUUUGCGCAUCAUGCCACAUUCUGCUUGAGACUGUUGCUUUACUCCAUACUUGUUUGUCUGCUGUUCUCUCUCUAUAGGAGCAGAAUCCUUAAUUCCUCUACUUGUCGAUUUCCCUUCACCUUUGCUUCUACUGGACUUCUUUUUUUCAGUCUGAAUCACCUUCGACUUCUUCUGUUUCCUGAAUUUACUCUCAAAAGCAUUGGCAUCACUUUCACCCAAUUCAUUACCUAAAUAGUCUUGUUCCCUUGAUUUUCUUUUCUUUACAGAAACUUCCCUCCCGUUGUGUGCUUUUAAAUCAAUUGAAGUACCUUUAGCACCACGAUUUUGAAAGUUACUUUGGAUGAGCGAUUGGUAGAGGGCAUGUAGAGCACUUGUGGUAUCGUCCUCACUAAUGUCACAACAGUUCAUGCCAGGAAGCCAGUCUAACAUGGUGCAGACCCAACUCUGAGAAAGUUGAUUGGGUUUUAUACCAUAGGGGAGAAGCCUCCGCUUCCGACAUGUAGAACAUAGAAUCCAAUCUUCUUGUAUAAUGAAUGGAGCAAGUGGUGACUCAUCCCCUGAAGUGGUCAGUUCCGGGCAGUGUGUCUUAUCAGAAGUAGUGUGUGAAUCACUACUCUUCGGGGCAGCAGUAUUACCAGAACGAAGCUUAAUCCUAAUCCUAAUGGGUUUGUGAGAAGAAAUAGGGGUAGGGGUAGGGGAAGGGAGUUUCUGAGAUAUCUGUGGUUGAAUUACAAGUUGAUCAACCGGCAAAAACGAACCAUAAACACCAAAUUUUGGCCCCAACUUCUCAACAGAAACAGUUCCUUCAAAAUCUUUCGUAUAAUUGCCCAAAACAGUUUGAAGCUUAGCAUCAAUGUUUAUAUGAGAAUCGUCAUAUAUUUCUCCUCCUUCAAUUUCGUGUUCUUCUGCCAUCGUAGUUUCCUAGUCCUAUGCUCACAGUUCCUAAAUUUCUUUGCGAAGUUCACAAAAAAAUCUAAUCUAUAUAUAAAAAAAACUCCUGAUUAAUUUUGGUAACUUAUUACCGACUAACUUAUAAAAUUGACACAGUUUCUAAAUUUUUUUGCAAAAUUACCAAAAAAAAUCCGCUUAAUUAUAACUAAUUAGGAUUAGUAGUCCUAAGCCGAAUCAAUUUAGGAAAAACCUACCUAUUAAUGUGAUAACUUAUUAACCACUAACUAAACAACUAAUAAAUAGACACGUUAAUUUUGUAAUUAAAAAUUAAUUUGGUAACUUAUUACCGACUAACUAAAUAACUAAUUCAUUGGGCAUCGUAUUAAAAUAAAAUAGACACGUUAAUUUUGUAUGAAAACGUUAAAUUUUCUUCUGCUUUCUUAAACUGUAUUAUUGGGUGUGGGUGUGUGUGUGGGGGGGGGGGGGGAGGGAUGAAGUAUGACAUACUUGUGAGUUAUUUUAAUUAACCGAUUGUCUUUUUAUUUCAAUUAGUUAAAUAUACAUUAUUUUAUUAUUUCAAUUUAUACGAAGGUGUUCGACUAAACACAUCAAUUUAGAUUUAAAAAAUAAGACUAUUUAGCUAAAUCAUCUUACAAAUGACUAUGUUAGUAAUUUUUUUAAAAAAUUAACAUAAGACAUAAAUUUAAGGAAUAAUUGCAUAGAAUGAUAAAUUAAUAAUGUAAAAUAAAUACAGUAGCUAUCGUUUGAAUUUUUUUGUACUACAUGUCAAAAUAUAUUUUUUAUACCAUAUAAAUAUAGACUACACAGAUAAAUAAAUUUAAAUUCAUAAUUUAAAAAUUCAAAUUCAAAUUAUUAAGAACUCUCGAUUUUGCUCAAACUGAAACUAUGCCAGCUCUGCUCACUGCAACUCAUGCUCUAUUAAUUAAUGUUAAUUUAAUGGUGGAAUUCAAUUUAUCUACUUAUCUUAGAAUGUUUUUUUUAAAAUAUAAAUAAUAUUGAAUGAUAUUUGAGAAAUUAAUUUAUUUUGAAAAAAAAAAAGAGAAGAUCCUACCGAUGUUAAAAGAAAAUCUCACCGAUGUUACUAUGGCAACAGUUAUGUUUGGUCAAAGAUCAAAAAAAUCCUUUCAAAAGAAAACUAUUCUUUUAUGCUUUAAAAUGAAGACCAAGAGACCCUUCGGCCCUCCGUGAUCCAACAUAAAAAUUGAGAACUUUUUUUUUUUUUGAAAUUUCAAAUACGAGUUUGAUUUUAUUUAUUUAUGUAUGAUUUAUAUAAAAUUUAUAGUGUAAAAUUAAAUUACUUUUUAUAUUUAUUAUUUUCCUAAUUACACAAAUCUCAUAUUUUUUUGGCAUUUUAAAUACAUAUUAAAGAUCCACGUUGAUAUAUUAUGUAUCAAACUGUUACACUUAUUAAGAAAAAACAAACUGAAAAAUCAAAUUAAGAUCUCAUACUAUUGAUCUAUUGCACUGAUUAAGGAAAAAAAUAAAAAAUCAAAUAAAGAUUUUGUAAAUUGUGUUUAGGGUUGUCAAAUGGGCGGGUUGGGUUUAAAUUGAGAUAUAAAAUGGGUUGACAUAGAAGACGGGUUGGGUCUUGAACCACCCAAGUUUACUUUGAGCUCAAAUGGGCUGAAAACGUGUUGGGUCUUGACCUGCCCAAUUUGACCCGAUUAAUCUCAAUAAUUUAACAUAUUGAUAUUUAACUUUUGUAAUUACAAUUUGAAGUUCAACUCAAUUUUUUUUUAAAAAAGUAACAAAUGGAUGAAUAAACCAUAAAAGAUGUUAAAUAGAUAAUAAUUCAUACCUUGGAUAUAUGAACAUAUUUUAAUAAUAAAUUUUAAAGCGAGUUGAAAAUGAAGAUUGAAUUGGGUUCAAUUGAGGAUUCUCUUCAAAUGGGUUAUGUUUGAAUGAGUUGAGCUGAACCUAAUUCAAAUUAUCUUGAACCCAAUCCUUAAAAUUCUGGACGAGUUGAGCGAGUUACCUAUGUUUGGGUUCAUUUUUGACACCCCUAAUUGUGUUAUUCCAUUCCAAAUUAUUAUCAAGAAUUCAAUCAUAUAUAGUGUAACUAAUCAAAAAAUUCAAAAAUUAUAUUUCUUCUUGUUCAUCGUUCUCUCUGUUUCAUAAAAAAAUUUAUCGAAAUUUUGAUUAAGCAGGGUGAGUUAUGAAGGACACAAAAGUGAUGGAAUUGUUGUUGGACUAACUAUUUCUUCUGUGAAUCUUCAAGUUCAUCGAAUAUCCUUUCGAUUUUGAUUCAAUCUUGUCGAAAAUUUUGAGAUUCAAAGUUAUACUACCAGUUCAUUGAAAAUCCUUUCAAUUUUGAUUUAAAAGUGUUGAAAACUUUGAGUUUCAAAAUUAUUCUCCUAGUUUAUUGAAGAUCCUUUCAAUUUUGAUUUAAAAUUAUUAAAAAUUUUGAGAAGAUACAUCAUGAAGAUCCUUUCAAUUUAAUUAAUAAGUUUUGUAUUUCUACUAGAUACAUUAAAUAAGAAAGUGUUGCCCAUAAGAUUUUAGGUAUGAGAUCGAUUAUUAUUUGGUAAUUGUUAUGUAUCAGAUACAUUUAGUAUAAAUUUGGAUUCAAGUAUCAUAACUAAAAAUUAGUGUCAGGCCCCGAGCCUACACCUUGAACGUGGCCAGCACCCAAUAACUAUUGUUGGCCUUGAGCGAACCCUUGGUAUGACUUAUUUAACUCAUCGGAAGACUUAACUCAACGUAAAACAUGAAACAUUCUCAAAAGAUUACUUAAAAUAAAAUACUUGGUCAAAUUGGCACUUAAGUCUCAUGGUAUAUAAUUGUAAAUAAGGAGAGACUCAAACUGAACUAUUUGACUGACUAUCUGUCUAUAAAGUCUCUAUCAUACUAAGAUGGAUGUUGGGACAGACCUCACAACAUCCUAUAAGUAAAGACUAGAAAGCAAUAAAAAAGUCCUCCGAAAUGCAAAGAGGCUCACCACUAACUCUAAGUGCUCAAACUGGAUCAAUGAGGCGUUGAAUGCUAAUCCUGGAUACAUGCGUUUACAUCAUGAUGCGAUGCAGACCAACUGGCAUCAAUACAUUUAAUGUACGAGUAUGCGAGUUGGAAAGCUAACAAAACUUAAGCUUGAAAAGAGUAAGAAGAAACACAUACCUUGACUCUGCUCAACUCAUGAAAUAUUGAACUUAAUAUAAAGCAAUAUGGCAUGUGCAAUAUACAUAAAACUUGUAAAACAGUGUAAACAACUUAGUUCGUUAAAUAAAAUGCAAUAACAAACUCAACUUUACUUAUAUAUGAAAGUAAUAUAGUUUCUGUGGGAGAUUCUCUAAACGACAACAAUCACUACGAGUUUAAGUGAUGCUACAACAUUUUACCUCACGUUGCCAAGGACUAUCCUAUAUCUUGUCAUCAGUACAGGACCUUACUUAACUAGUCGAUCAAGUAGCUUAACUUACGUAAUCAUCUAAAAAGUAUGACCCAUUAAUACCCAUUAAUGACUACAUGAUUAUCAUGGAGACUUAAGUUAAUUGUGAACUCUCAUCCCCAAAUCGGUGCUAAAUAAUACUCCAAAAACGUACUUUAGCUCAUUCUCUUAAAACAACUUUCUUUUUUUGGGUUGAGAUAAUUACUCAACACUUUAACUUUUAAAAAACUCUCUUGGAAUCAAUAUUCCCUUUUCUUGUUCAAAAUUCUUUUGGUAAAUCUUAGUGUCAUCUUAACUUAAAUGUGAAAACAUUUAUAAACUUUUAGGUAAUACUUAGUUCCCUUAUAACUUUUGAGAAAUGAUCACAACUCUUUAUUCCUUGCUUAAUUUUGAACUUGAGUCUUAAUCAAGUCUUUGAAAAUAUGUAAUUUCCUUAUAUUUCUUUAAUGUAAGACUUCAACUCUUUACUGAUUACUUUAACUUGAAGCUUGAGCCUUAAAACGGAGUUAAAACGUUUUAGUAGAGACUAUUGAAAAUCUUUAAGAACUUUGUUUUGUAACACCUUGAAAAUUCAAGACAUGUCUUUAAGUCUAACAUAGGUGUCAUAAGGUCUAAGUACAAUUUUAAGUCCAUUUUAUUGAAUAUAGGUCAUUUAAGAAGUUUAAGAACCAAGACAUUUGGGAAGUUGGUUCAAAGGGUUGUUAGUGUGCCUUAGCCUAUUUGACUAACUUUUAGGAGUCGGAAAUGUACGAAAAUUGAUGGAAGGGUAGCUAAUAGGUGUUUGAGUUGUUUCAUGGUUGAAACGUCCGGGUACGACGCCCCAAGGACCAAUCAAGGGCCCUUGAGAAGGACCCUGCAGGUUGAAGCAACACUGCUUGUACAGUGUGCAUCGAUGGGGCAACAGACGGCCCGUGUGUGGACAGACGGGGCGUCGAUGCCAUUAAAGUUGAGUGAUUUUAUUGAUAUAAAAAAUAUCUAAAUUGAGUGAUUUUAUUGAUGUAAAUAUCUAAAUUGAGUGAUUUUAUUGAUGUUAAAUAAAAUUUAAUGACUAUCAAAUAAAGGAAUUUUGAAAAUUAGUGACAUUUUGAUAUAUUACCUCUUACUUUUGUGGCUUCAUUAUAUCCUCAUAUAUAUAUUUUUUGGUCAAGGCAAACAUAAGACUAUUUGUUCAACAUAUGACUUAUGACUCCAUCUGCAAAUUAUUUUUUAGAGGAUUUCGGAAAGAGAUAGUUACUGGAAGUUGGGACUAACGAUUUAUCAUUUUCAAUUGACCUUUUAUUUAGGUGUACACAAGUAAAUAUUUAAAUUUGUAUAAAAUUGAAUAAAUAGGUACAUUCGUCUAACAUAAUACUCUACAUGAUAGUUUUAUGUACUACAUGACAUCCAACAUGUAUUAUGUCACAUAAGACACAUGUGUCUAUUUGUUCAAUUUUAUACAGAUUUGAAGGCCUAGUACUUGUGCAUACCCAAAAUUAAGGGUUAUGAUUGUCAAUUGAAAUCAGAUUAAGUGAAGAUUGUGCUCUAUUCGUUUGUAAAAGUAAGCGUUUUCGAAAAAAAGACUGUAAAUUAAGGAGUUGACAACAAUUGUCAGAUGGGGGAUUAGGCUUGUCAAUUAACAAGUACAACAAUUACGAAAACAUGGGGUAGCUAAGUAGAGAAGGAUUCUCAGGGAUGUGAUCGAUUAAAGGUUAAUUUUACUAUAAGGGUAAUUGUAAUUCACUAGCAAUUGUUGAACCUCAAUGGGUAGGUUAGACUACAUAUGCAAUAGUUUUCUCUCGAACAAUUAUUACGAUUUAAGUAAGUUCUCUCGAACCUCGCAAAAUUUAAGAUUAUUUUUCAAUGAUUGGCUCAAGCCGUGACGACUCAAGUCAAUAGGAAGGUUGUGAUUCCUGUAAACUCUGAUGUGUUACAAGAGAUUUUAAUCAAUAACCAUAUCAUCAGAACGGUUUAUAACAGAGACCUUUAUUUAAUUGGUAAAACUCAAGUCCUCGACUAGUUCUUUCAAAACUUGAUGAAUGUAAUGUGAUGUCUUUGUAAUUUCCUCAACUUUAAGAGAAUCCUUUCUCAUUCUCUUUUCUUGUUCAAGCUUUAAUUUUUUCAUAUUUGUUGCUUGUUGACCAAGGAAAACUAAAGGAGGGAAUUAAAGCAUCAAAGUAGUUAUAGUGAGUACUGUUGUACGUACAUAAAGUAUAAAAGCAAAUUAAAGAUGUGCAACCCCAAAACUUUCAACUUAUAAUUACUGCUUCAACAACAAGAAUUAAAAAAAGUGCAUAAACUAAUGAUUAGUUUUGUAAGAUAAAACUCUCUUUUGAGACUGCUUAAGUUGCUUGGAUGUUUCCUAAACGUUAUCUUGAAAUUUCAUUUCCAUUAUGAUUAAUUUGACAUGUUCUUUUGUUAAAAUUUAAAGUUCACACCUGACCUUUUAUUUGAUAUGCCUUUGGAAAAUGUAACGAGUAGAUGGUAAAAUUUACUACAACACAAAAAUACAUAAGUACUCCCUAAGCUAUAAUCUAAAUCACAGAGACACAUUUUAAUUAAACUAAGGUCUUAUUAUUUUCUGAAUUUAUUUUUUUGUAAUUUUAUUUACCUUUUGUCUUACAUGACACACUCCGUGACUCCAUACAAUUGAGGUGCGUGAAAGAUAUUUGAAUUUCACGUAAGUCAAAAAGGUGCACAAAAUUAUAAAAAAAAAUCAAAAGAUAAUAGGACAUUAAUUUAAUUAAGAUAUAUCUCUGAGAUUAUUAUUAUAGUCUAGGAGGUACUUAUGCAUUAUUUUUAACAAUUAAUAUUUUUGAUGUGUCAAAUCAUAAGUUAAAAAAGGAAAGAGGGAGUUGUCCUAGAGUUUAUAUAAAAUAUUGAAGUCAAUUUUACACCCCUAUAUAUUAUAAUAACAAAGUUUUCACUCUCCAUAAUUCAUUUCCAUUGCACAAGCACGAUACAUACACUGCACACGAGCACUGAUCACGCAAAUUGAUGGGAGCUAAACUCACAGUUAUAGAAAACAGGUGCAACCAUGAUAUUGAAAUCAGAGUUUGGGUUUCUCCGGCUCGACCCGACAAAUUUCAAAGCAUAAUUAGAAUUGAAGGUGAAGGUGGAUGGAAGGAAGUAAAUUCCAAAAAUUUCAUCCAUGCAGACGCUACAAUUCUUGAUGAUGAUAUCGAAUUUGUAUUGUCUACCUUGCUAAUGAUUUAUAUGGAUGGUGUUUAUACAGGAUAUUACUUUCUUCCAAUUCACUUAGUGAAAUACGCGAAAGUCAUCUGCGACAUUAAUGAAGAUGGACUUUUUAUUGUUCAAGGAAUCAAACCAACAUUCGAUUUCUGCAGAUUUAAGUAAUUUUGUUACAACUUCAAAUGUUGCACUUGUAUUCAUUUAAAUGAUGUUUUAAUUUUUAUUUUUUUCACAGGGGUUGCGCCUUUUUUCCUUAUCUCAGAGGAAACAAAAAGGAGAUGAUUUGAACCUGCAGUAUUUAUGUUUGUUAUUUUGAAUUAAUGGAAUGCACAAAUUCAAAAGUAUGAAGUUUUGAUGAUAGACAAAGAUAUUCAAGAAUCAAGUUCAACACUACAACAAAGUCAUGUCUUUUCUUUAUGAUGUAAUUGAUAUUGUUCUAGGCUAUUAUUGAAUUAUAAUAAAUCCUAAAUUGAAGUUGUGAGGUUUGUAACAAGAAGAAAGUUGAUCCUCUUGGAGACUUUCCUUUAAAUCAUCCUUUGUAAUAUGAAAUCUCUCUUGAAUUUAGUGAAAUUUGAUUGCUAAAAUCAUACAUAACAUAGGUCGUGGUUUUUAUAUCGUUUGAGAAAAGGAAACUUUCCAUGAAAAAUAUUAUGUUCUCUACGUUAUAGCUUAUGGUACAACAUACAGAAACCUAACUCCUCUCACGAGUGGUUGGUACUAUCUCCGAUUUUUAAUUUACUUAUCUUUAG